AGAUUUGAAAUUAUCCUGUCCCUUGAUUGGUCCUCUGGUCAGGUGUUCAUCAGGUUACUGAGUUUGUUAACCCUUUACAGGUAAAAGAGACCUUAACCCUUAACUAUCUGUUUAUGACAGGCUAGAACUCAGAACUCCUGGUAGUGACUCCCAUCUAAGCAGGGGAGGGAGGGACUUCUUUUUAGUGCCCAUCACAUACUCAGUCCAGUGCUUAGACCACUUGAUACUCAGGUUACUAUAGAACUGAAAACUGAACUGAAUUCUAUUUUGGAGGGACAUAAUUCAGUGCUGUACUCCACCCCUUAUUAUUAAAGAUAGAGUUGGAACUAUGUGCUUUCAGUGGAGUUAAGUAUCAGCUGUUUUUUGCUAGAUUUGAAACUCACUCGGACUAAGCACUGUGGUGCUGUAAUACCCUUAACCUUUUAAUUGAUUCAGAUUUUUUUAUGUCAAUGAAUCAGAGGUGUCAGGAGUGAGGCAACCUUUUCAGACCAGCUGCAUGGCUUCCUGGGAUGAUGUGCAUUUCUGCUAACAGACAGGUGUUGGUCUGCAAGAGAGAUUCUGUUCUUGCCUCAUGUAGGCUCAGACACUAUCCAGAGACCUCCUGAGGAUUUAGCCAAUGAGGAACUUUUUCUACCGCCACAGCAACAGAAGAAAACAACAGAGAGCCAUGCACAGUACCUGGCAGGGAGAGUAAUGAGAGAUGAAAUCUCUGGGAUCCCUCGCAUGCUGGAUAGGAUUGUCUCCAGGUGCUCAAUAUGGUCCACACUGAAUUCCACUCGAUGAGGAAACUGAAGCACUGAGAUGUGAAGUGACUUGUCCCAGGUCACAAAAUGAGUCAAUGGCAGAGAAAGAAUUGGAACCCACUUCUCCUGACUCCAACAGUGGUCUCCCAAGCCAUGCUGUCUCCAAUGGACUGACUCUGU